rnacentral:lncRNA from 1 species
AGUUGGUUUUGUGCGGCUCUCAAGAACUAAGUUUGUGCUGUGCUGCGGGAUCCCCAGGGAGCUUCCUUAUAUCUUCGGCAGGACCCCUUCUUUUUUUCUUGAAGAUUGAUUUUGCUAGAAGUUAUCCUGUGAUGGGACUCCCUAGGGGAAUGGAGGCACCACGUGGUUAAGGAGUUUGUGCGUUGCCGCCCACAUAGUGUGGGCAGCUGAGGCGCCGCCCGGAUCAGAGCCGCAGGGCGUCUACUCUGUCACUUUCCCAACCUGACUUUUCCGGAUUGCUAUUUCAGACGGCGGUUGCAGCAGCCGACCUGUCUCAACUCCACCACUGUAGUCAGAGAAUCAAAAGCGGUCUGAGUUGCGAGGUCAUUGGGGAGGCCCCCACCCCCACAUUACCAGUGAGGAAACUGAGACUUAAAAAAGUGACCUGACCUGGACACGGGAUUGCCUGACAUCAGAGCUGGAUUCUUAAGUUCCUGUUAGUGUUAAGGCGCUGCUCAGACUUUUAGUAAAGGUGAGCGCCAUCUACUGCCAAGUCUCACAAAAUAUUCGCAAAAUUUGAUACGGUUAUCACAUGGUAAAAAUUAGACUUUAAAAGUUGUAUUUAAUGCUGUGUUUUCAGCUGUUGUACACUUAUGUAAUUUUAAUUAUGCAAAGUUAUCCUAAUAAUAUAGGAAUAUUAAUUG